CUGGACACAUAGGCGGAAGUGGCCCGCAGGCGCCGGGGAUGCGAGCACCUGCCGAGGAGGCGCGGCGUGGUGGACGGUGCCGGAGUGGGCGAGGAGGAGAAGCAGGAGAUGCUUUGUGGGAAAUUUCAGUAGAGAUGUCAGUACUUUGGUGCAGAUGUGCAAGAAGAGACCAUGCCGGAGGAGUUUGACUGCGUGUCUGGCGCAGAUCUGCAGCUUCUAGGAUCGUGAAUAUAGGACUUGGCUCAGCAGACAAAAGAAAAACUGAACAAAGGAGAGGAAACCAACAAACAUCCCGCUGGAAAUACUGAAUGUGGCAGAAUAAGAACAAUGGAUCUCAAGUUCAACAACUCCAGGAAAUAUGUUUCUAUCACUGUCCCAUCCAAAACCCAAGCAAUGUCACCACACAUCAAGUCAAUAGAUGACAUUGUGGUGCUUGGCAUAAAUCUCAGCAGAUUUAACAAACUUACUCAGUUUUUCAUAUGUGUUGCUGGAGUUUUUGUAUUUUACCUAAUUUAUGGAUAUUUACAGGAAUUAAUAUUUUCAAUGGAAGGUUUUAAGCCCUAUGGCUGGUACCUGACCUUAGUGCAGUUUGCGUUUUACUCCAUAUUCGGCCUAAUAGAACUUCAGCUCAUUCAAGACAAAAGGAGAAGGAAAGCGUUAUAAUGUGGCCGACGUGUCUGCUGCCUUGUGUAUGAGCCUGGGCCUGAUAUGGUUCACCCUGGCUGACAGCACGGUUGCACCGAACUUCAACCUCACAGGUGUGAUCCUUAUUUCCCUGGCACUGUGUGCAGAUGCCGUCAUUGGAAAUGUCCAAGAGAAAGCUAUGAAACUGCAUAACGCUUCUAAUUCAGAAAUGAAUAUUACCACCCGUAGUUAUUCUUGGGUGUUCAAAUCCCCAAAUAAACUAGAAAUCCCAUUGAUACUGUGAUUGGUAUGGCUUUGAAUUAUAAGUUAAUUUAGGGAGAAUGGCAUCUAUGCACUUGAUUCUUUCAGUCGAAGAAUAAGGUAUGACUUUCCUUUUAUUCAAGUGUUUCCUUUAAAUGUCCCUUAUAUUUUAAAGUUUCUUCUUAUAAAUCCAGUUUUUUUUUUAUUGGCGUUAUUGUUAGGUUUUUUAUCUUUUUGCUGUUACUACUGCAAAUAAUGCUUUUUUUCAAUAUAUAUUCUAACUGGUUGGUAUUUUUACAUAGGAAAGGUGUUAUAUGCAUGUGUUUGUAUUAAUUUUAUAGCCAACCACCUUGCUAGACAGCAUACAAGACUGGUCUUUCCUAGCAGACGAGGGCAUCUUUGCGGAGUCCCUAGGAACAUGGGAACUUUAAUCUUGGUCCGGAGUUUUCCUGGUCAUCAUCGCCACUCUUUUUAGAUAAGGAAAGGAGCAGAGAAUCAAGGAAGUGUAGUGAGAAGGUGUAUUACAGUAGGCUCUGAACUAAGAUAGCCUUAGUGCUGCGGUAGCUUUAUUAGCUCUCCCGUGGGGAAAAUGACUUAAUCUCUCUGAGUUUUCGUCUCUUAGUUUCUUCAUCCACACAUUGGAGAGUGGUGCUUACGAGUGCCUACGCUUGUACUGGCUGUGAGAAAUGGAGGAAUCCAUAGGUAGAGCGUGAUUGACACGGGACCCGACAUGCAGCAGGUGCCUCAGUUGAGGAUGAUGCUGACUCUGCUUAUAAGCAACACAGAACACUAACGAGCCAGGAUAGAAAGCUUGGUGGAAAAAUUGGGAAAUGAAGCAAUGGAUAUGCCAUAUGCUGCUUAUUUUAUUUUCUUUAUGUUAUAAUGCCUUUGCAAACUUCGCGUUUGGGUUUUUCAUGUUUAAUAAGUAGUUUUGAAGUGUCUUUGUUUUGUGUAUGUUUUUAGGCCCUCUACAUCACAAUCCAGUUUGAGUCAGUAAUUAAGCUCUAGGCAAAAAAAUGAAUAAUUAGGCAACCAUGUGUGAUGCGAUUGGUACUGCUGUGUUCAUUGUGCAUCAAAUAAUGUGCAGUGUUAUAAACAAGAUCAACCAUCACUUCCAGAAAAUUGGGCCAUAUUGAAAGAGUAAUAUUACUUUUAAAAUUAUUUCUUCUACCAAACUUAACUGACUAGAUUAAUUGAGCCAAAUAUUGAAAAGCCGUCAUUUCCCACCUUUGGUUUCAUAGCGGUUCUCUUCCCCUUUACUUUCACCUCCUCCAGGUCUUGUAUUCCUACUCCAUUGGUUUUGUGUACAUUUUAUUGGGAUUGACAUGCACUAGUGGAUUAGGCCCUGCGGUAACAUUUUGUUCAAAGAACCCAGUUCGGACCUACGGUUACGCUUUCCUUUUUUCCCUCACUGGGUAUUUUGGAAUCUCCUUUGUUCUGGCCUUGAUUAAAAUUUUUGGUGCACUGCUUGCUGUAACAGGUAGGAAUGAAGCACUUGCUUCGAUUCUGAAAUAAGCAUUUACAUUUGCUCUGAUACUCUCUUCCAAAAGAUAAGGGCAGCGUCUACUCCUCGGUAAAAGGAAAAUUGUCAUAUUUCACCAGUUUAUUCCUUGGCUUAUGGUAUUUCUUUAAAAUUCUAAAGAAAACGAUGUUUGAUCUUAAUUUCUUGAAGGUUGAAUUUUAAAAUCAAAUAUCUGCAUUUUCUAAAUAGUAACUUAAAGACAUUAAAAGACCUUUUAAGAGUUCCCAUUGGGGCGCAGCAGUGACAAACCUGACUAGUAUCUGUCAGGAUAUGGGUUCGAUCCCUGGCCUCACUCAGUGGGUUAAGGGUCUGGCGUUGCCAUGAGCUGUGGUGUAAGUCGCAGGUGUGGCUCGGAUCCUGAGUUGCUGUGGCUGUGGGGUAGGCCGGCGGCUGCCACUCCUCUUCAGCCCCUAGCCUGGGAACUUCCGUAUGCUGCAGGUGCAGCCAUAGCGGGGGGUGGGGGGGGGGAUAAAGACCUUUUAAAAAGUAUGACCAGAUGAAUACCUUCAAGGAAAAAUAUUGUGGUUAGUCAUGUUUAAUUUAUAACUGAAAAUUACAGUUUUCUUACACUCAUAAUAGGACAGGUAUUUUGAAGUAAAGCUCUUUGGACCUUCCAUGCGUACCCUUUCUGGGGCCUCGAUCAGAUUUGCUUCCCUUUUCGCUAAUGAUGGUCAUGCACCUGCUCUGCAGGGCCUUUGCCUGACGUGUUUGUCUUGCUCUGGAGGCGUGAAGAGUGCACGUGGGGGCUGCAGGGGAGGCCCAGUGAAGGGGGCAGCUGACCCCAUGUGCUGCCUGGUAUAGUUUUGCUGAAAGAACAGCCCCCUGACACAUACUCUCAGCAUCUCCCCGCUGGAGAGGCCCCUCCGGGGAGCCCAGGACUGGAAGUUGUGAUGCAGAGCACGGCGUUGGGGUGUCCGAGAAGGCGGGGCCCUGGCCCAGCGCUGACCUUUGGUGACCUGGAGGGACCCGAGUCCCUCCGCUGCUCUCGGUUUCUCUUUUGAGAAGUGACUGGGGUUGGGCAAGAACGUGCCCCUCAGAGCUCUGCGGAGCUGGAUCCGGAAGGCCCACACGCAUUGUAAUUUCUCACGGUGUUCGAGGAACACGGACCUGAAAACCACAGAAUAGAUUAAACAAGUGGAUAAACAGCCCUCUCUUUGUAAAAGUGCACUUGCUCCCUAACUGUUCUGGUUGCCUACACAUGAGGCUUCUUUUUGACGUUUGCACCCCUAGUGGUAGAAGGAGGGAGCUUAUCUGGAGAUCAGGCCUGGUCAGUAACCUCCUGAAUCCUCUCAGGCUGUUACAGACUUUGCUCGGGUUUCGGCGUUGCUUGCAGGAUACUCACUGUUCCAGAAGGGUCUGAUAUCCAUCUGUACGAGCCCUGUGGUUGGUAUAAGGAAAUGUGAGAUGCCAUCCUUUGUCCGGAAGGCGCGGGCAGGUUCUCUCUCUCUCUCGUGUGAAGAAAAUCCAGAGAUGCUGAGAACACCAGCUAACGUGUUCUCAGCACACACCCUUAGUCUGUGCUGGGUGCCAUGGCAGGGGUUCUACGUAGAUUCAUGCUAACCUCACAGCGGUCCCAUAGACGAGGCACCACCCUCGUCCCAAGUCACAAAUGGAUCAGCUGAAGAAGCCCGGGGAGGUUAUGUGACUGGCCAGUAAGUUGCAGAUUCAAGAUUCCCCCUGAGGCAUCUGGCUCCAGACCCACCUUUUAACCCUGAGCUGGUGUGGUGGCUGCAGCUCACUAGGAGCUUUAUCCGGCUCUGUCCCUCUGCCGUCUGCGUCCUCAUUCUGGGGGGCGCGGGGAGAAGAUAGGGACACACCCUUCUCUUCCCGAGGCCUUCCCAGAAAUCACCCUCCUGCCACAGCGCUUCUGCUCACGUUUUGUUGACCAGGCAUAGUCCUGUGACCACCCCUGGCCGGAGGAGAGGCCUGAAAGGUAUCCCAGCUCAAAACAGGGGCCUUUUAUCUUUUUCCUUUGUAGAAGGAGAAGCAGAUUUGGGGAAUCGGGCUCCAGAACAGUUUCCUCGUUUGUGUUUGCUCCUUCAUGCUUUGAACAUCCAGUGCGGGAAGCCCUGGCGUCUCGGCUGCGAGGAUGCCUGGGACAGGGAACCAGGCAGGGCACGCGGUCUCGUGGGGGAAGGUACCCAGAGCUCCGGCUGGGGCGAGGGCGGAAGGUUUCAGACCUGUCAUCCCUGCCUUGGGACAGCCAAGGGGACUGUGGAGGUUACUCUCGGUCCUGUGCCCGCCAGUAGCAUAGCAGGAUGUCCUUUAGUGCGUGUGCCGCUGUCAGAGACUAACCCCAGCCCUGCCUAUAGCUCAUCUCCCUUGGAAAGCCUUUCUUUCUGCCAGGCCGGGCGCCACAGCUCUCUGCAGGAUGACGUGCCACCGUGCAGCGCGGCCGCCCUCUGGUACCACCUCAGUUAAAAGCUCACGUCUGCAGCCCUGCUAGCUGUCCCCUCCAUGCAGCGGGAGCCGUGACUUUCUGUUUGUUUGUGGUCGCCUCUGUUUCCUUGGCACCUCACAGGAGGCUCUGUAAAUACUGGUUAAGUAAAUGAUUUCCAAAAUGUUGCCAAGACAGUAGGCACAGUCUUAAACCAACCUUUUUCUCCCUGCAGUGACGACGGGAAGAAAAGCAAUGACCAUUGUACUGUCAUUUAUAUUCUUUGCCAAACCCUUCACAUUUCAGUAUGUAUGGUCUGGUUUGUUAGUUGUCCUUGGCAUAUUUCUCAAUGUCUAUAGCAAAAACAUGGAUAAAAUAAAACUGCCAUCACUCUAUGAUCUGAUAAGCAAAACCAUGGAAGCGAGAAAGUCAAGAACAUUGGCACAAACUGUAUAGGCAGUGAUGUGUCCUGUUUAUGAAAUAGAAUUCUAAGGGAACAGUCAUCAGUUAAUGAACUUUCCAAAAGGAUUGUUGUGCGAACCAAAGGAUCUAAAGGCACAUUCUCCGUCUGUGGAUGGAUUUUACACACGGCGUUGGCCUUUCCUCAGACCCUUGUUUGUUUGAGUUCUGAAGCGCUCAAGAGCUGCACACCUGACACACCGUGGAAUAAAGCAUGAAUAUGAAGGACCGAUUCUUACAGCCUGUUGAAAAUUUCACUGGAAAUGGACCAUGUUGCAAGACUACAUAAUUACGACAUAUCAAAGAAAUUGAUAUGUAAAAGCAGACUUUUUUUCAUUCCAUUUCGGUGGUGUUAUUUAAAUCAAUUCUCUGUUGUAAGAGUGAACUGAUGAUUUAAAAUCCAGAGAGCAUAACUUCAUUAUAAAUAAAAUGAUUCUGUGAUUUUUUUUUUAAGAAUGUAUUUGAUAGAAUUUUGUUAUGAACAGGGGGUAUGAAGGUUGAAUGUUGCUACGAAGAGAGGAAGUAAAUUUUACAUACACUUUAAAACGUAGGCUCUUCUCUGCUCAUUUAAAAGUAUUCUUUGGAGAAAACAUGCUGUGACCUUCCUGCGGGAUGUAGGCCCUGGAGUAAAAAGCAGUCGGCCUCCUGAAUCCUGGAAGUCUUUAUCACAAGACACAUUUCCGACCCUUCAUCAGAGGUGCUGCAAGAUCUAAUGGUUUUCCGUUUUUGAAUUGAAGGGAAAAGAACUGGUGUCUUAAAUGAUUAUGAAGUAAUAAAGCUGUAGUUUUUCCUAAAAGUAAAAUUUAAUUUAGCAACGAAGAUGAAAUAGGAUAAAUUCCAGAAACACGAGUAGAUUUAGCAAAUUUGCACAGUGUGUCGCAGGGUUUUGAGUCGAAACUCAGAAAGAUUUUGGCCUUGAUUUUUUAGCAGUGAGUUUUAGAAUUGCUUCUACUGUAUCAAAAGUCCUAUUAAUCUCCAUUUUCAAUGUAAGUGCUGUUGGCUGAAGCAGCUCAGUGUCUAUGCUCUUGGUGAUAUCACUUAUAUUUGGCGAGUAUGGUAUGUUUAGUAUAUUUAAUCAUAGUCUUAAAAUUCCAUUGUAUUCUGAUGGCAACCUUAUACCUGUUAUGUGCACUUGUGGGUGUCACGGAGCCCAUGAAAACGUAAGGAUUUAGCCCAAGAAAUUCUGAUUUUCAUUAGCCAUAUUAAAUAAAAUACUGUGGGGCAUAUUUUGAAGUGGAA